GCAACUUUAACAGUAGCUUAGUUGGUAAAGCAAUAGAUUUGUAAUCUAUGGAUCGCGGGUUCGACUCCCGCCAAUUUGUA
rnacentral:tRNA from 1 species